rnacentral:rRNA from 1 species
UACGGGGGGGGCAAGCGUUGUUCGGAAUUACUGGGCGUAAAGGGCUCGUAGGUGGCCAACUAAGUCAGACGUGAAAUCCCUCGGCUUAACCGGGGAACUGCGUCUGAUACUGCUGGACUAGAGUGCGGAAGAGGCGAGUGGAAUUCCCGGUGUAGCGGUGAAAUGCGCAGAUAUCGGGAGGAACACCAAUUGCGAAGGCAGCUCGCUGGGACGUUACUGACGCUGAGACGCGAAAGCGUGGGGAGCAAACAGG